rnacentral:rRNA from 1 species
GACGAACGCUGGCGGCGUGCUUAACACAUGCAAGUCGAACGGAAAGGCCCUGCUUUUGUGGGGUGCUCGAGUGGCGAACGGGUGAGUAACACGUGAGUAACCUGCCCUUGACUUUGGGAUAACUUCAGGAAACUGGGGCUAAUACCGGAUAGGAGCUCCUGCUGCAUGGUGGGGGUUGGAAAGUUUCGGCGGUUGGGGAUGGACUCGCGGCUUAUCAGUUUGUUGGUGGGGUAGUGGCUUACCAAGGCUUUGACGGGUAGCCGGCCUGAGAGGGUGACCGGCCACAUGGGGACUGAGAUACGGCCCAGACUCCUACGGGAGGCAGCAGUGGGGAAUAUUGCACAAUGGGCGGAAGCCUGAUGCAGCAACGCCGCGUGCGGGAUGACGGCCUUCGGGUUGUAAACCGCUUUCGCCUGUGACGAAGCGUGAGUGGCGGUAAUGGGUAAAGAAGCACCGGCUAACUACGU